AGAGUUUGAUCCUGGCUCAGAUUGAACGCUGGCGGAAUGCUUUACACAUGCAAGUCGAACGGCAGCACGGGAGCUUGCUCCUGGUGGCGAGUGGCGAACGGGUGAGUAAUGCGUCGGAACGUACCGAGUAAUGGGGGAUAACGCAGCGAAAGCUGUGCUAAUACCGCAUACGCCCUGAGGGGGAAAGUGGGGGAUCGCAAGACCUCACGUUAUUCGAGCGGCCGACGUCUGAUUAGCUAGUUGGUGGGGUAAUGGCCUACCAAGGCGACGAUCAGUAGCGGGUCUGAGAGGAUGAUCCGCCACACUGGAACUGAGACACGGUCCAGACUCCUACGGGAGGCAGCAGUGGGGAAUUUUGGACAAUGGGGGCAACCCUGAUCCAGCCAUUCCGCGUGAGUGAAGAAGGCCUUCGGGUUGUAAAGC
rnacentral:rRNA from 1 species